rnacentral:rRNA from 1 species
CAGCCGCCGCGGUAAUAUGUAGGGUGCGAGCGUUAAUCGGAAUUACUGGGCGUAAAGCGUGCGCAGGCGGUUAUAUAAGACAGAUGUGAAAUCCCCGGGCUCAACCUGGGACCUGCAUUUGUGACUGUAUAGCUAGAGUACGGUAGAGGGGGAUGGAAUUCCGCGUGUAGCAGUGAAAUGCGUAGAUAUGCGGAGGAACACCGAUGGCGAAGGCAAUCCCCUGGGAUAACACUGACGCUCAUGCACGAAAGCGUGGGGAGCAAACAGGAUUAGAUACCCCCGUAGUCCCUGUCUCUUAUAC